CACUCCUGCGGGAGGCGGCAGUGGGGAAUUUUGGACAAUGGGCGAAAGCCUGAUCCAGCAAUGCCGCGUGAGUGAAGAAGGCCUUCGGGUUGUAAAGCUCUUUUGUCAGGGAAGAAACGGUGAAAGCUAAUAUCUUUUGCUAAUGACGGUACCUGAAGAAUAAGCACCGGCUAACUACGUGCCAGCAGCCGCGGUAAUACGUAGGGUGCAAGCGUUAAUCGGAAUUACUGGGCGUAAAGCGUGCGCAGGCGGUUUUGUAAGUCUGAUGUGAAAUCCCCGGGCUCAACCUGGGAAUUGCAUUGGAGACUGCAAGGCUAGAAUCUGGCAGAGGGGGGUAGAAUUCCACGUGUAGCAGUGAAAUGCGUAGAUAUGUGGAGGAACACCGAUGGCGAAGGCAGCCCCCUGGGUCAAGAUUGACGCUCAUGCACGAAAGCGUGGGGAGCAAACAGGAUUAGAUACCCUGGUAGUCCCAUGAU
rnacentral:rRNA from 1 species